UCGAGAAUCUUUGUCAAUGGGGGAAACCCUGAACAAGCGAUGCCGCGUGCGGGAUGAAGGCCUUCGGGUUGUAAACCGCUGUCAGUUGGGAGGAAAUGCCAUGGGGUUCUCUCCAUGGUUUGACCGAUCUUCAGAGGAAGGACGGGCUAAGUUCGUGCCAGCAGCCGCGGUAACACGAACCGUCCAAACGUUAUUCGGUAUCACUGGGCUUAAAGCGUGCGUAGGCGGCCUGGAAGGUGAGAGGUGAAAUCCCACGGCUCAACCGUGGAACUGCCUUUCAAACCAUCAGGCUUGAGGAAGAUAGGGGUGAUCGGAACUUAUGGUGGAGCGGUGAAAUGCGUUGAUAUCAUAGGGAACACCGGUGGCGAAAGCGGAUCACUGGAUCUUUUCUGACGCUGAGGCACGAAAGCUAGGGUAGCGAACGGGAUUAGAUACCCCCGUAGUCC
rnacentral:rRNA from 1 species